GAUUGGUGGAGGCGUGAGGGAGAGGAACGGUGAGCGUGAGGCGGUGUGGGAGCGGUAAUGAGAGUGAUAAUGAAUAUGGUAAUGAAUAUGGUAAUGAGCGUGGUAAAGAGUGCGAGUGUGCGGGACCGAGCGUGAUAAUGAAUAUGUGAUAAAGGGUGUGAGGGACCGAGUGUGAUAAUGAAUAUGUGAUAAAGAGUGUGAGUGUGCGGGACCGAGUGUGAUAAUGAAUAUGUGAUAAAGAGUGUGAGUGUGCGGGACCGAGUGUGAUAAUGAAUAUGUGAUAAAGGGUGUGAGUGUGCGGGACCGAGUGUGAUAAUAAAUAUGUGAUAAAGGGUGUGAGGGACCGAGUGUGAUAAUAAAUAUGUGAUAAAGGGUGUGAGGGACCGAGUGUGAUAAUAAAUAUGUGAUAAAGAGUGUGCGGGACCGAGUGUGAUAAUAAAUAUGUGAUAAAGGGUGUGAGGGACCGAGUGUGAUAAUAAAUAUGUGAUAAAGAGUGUGAGGGACCGAGUGUGAUAAUAAAUAUGUGAUAAAGGGUGUGAGGGACCGAGCGUGAUAAUGAAUAUGUGAUAAAGGGUGUGAGGGACUGAGUGUGGUAAUGAAAAUGUGAUAAGAGGUGUGAGUGUGAAGGACCGAGUGUGCAGGACUGAGGGUGGUAAUGAGUGUGGUAAUGAAUAUGGUAAUGAGUGUGUGAUAGUGAUAAUGAGCAUGUAUGGAUACUGUGUGAUAGUAUGAGUGACAAUGUGUGACAAUGAGCGUGUGUUAGUGACUGUGUGUGUGAUGCUGUAUAUUAGUGAGUGUGAUAGUGUGCCUGUGAGUGUGAUAGUGUACAGAGUAUGAUAGUGUAUAGUGAUAAUGUAUGAUAAUGAGUGUGUGAAUGAUUGCGUGUCACAAUGAGUGCAAAUAGAUAUGGAAAAGUGAUUGUGUAAAUGACAGUGAUUGUGAGACAGAACUGGUGCUGUGUGUAUGUGGGAUUGGCGGGUGUGAGUGUGGCAGUGUGUGAUGGUGUGGGGGUGUGUGAGUGACUGUGCACGAGUGUGACAUUGUCCAUGGGAGUGUGACACCAUCCGUGUGAGUGUGAGAAUGUGUGUGCAGGGGAUUCUGAGUGUGAGUGUGCCCGUGUGUGGGGUGUGUGUGUGUGAUGGGCUCUGUGUGUGUGUGUGUGUGUGUGAUGGGCUCUGUGUGUGUGGUGUGUGUGUGAUGGGCUCUGUGUGUGUGGUGUGUGUGUGAUGGGCUCUGUGUGUGUGUGUGUGUGUGUGUGUGUGUGUGUGUGUUUGUGUGUGUUGCACACCACCAGUGCAGCCUCCCCUGCAGUUCAACACCCCUGGCAGCUCCUGUGGGAGCGUGGCUGUGCCCCCUGGAGCCGGGAUUAAUGCCCCAGCCUGCAUUAAUCAGCUGCUCACCACCUGGAGGGUUCCUUUACAUCCAGUAACUGAAGCAAAGCCCUGGAGAUGCCUGCUCCUUGUCUGGGGUGAGGAUGGUGGAACACACACCCCUGUGUGCCAGAUCUCUCCAAGGACACAGUGCUGCUCCCUCCCAGCUGCUGCUCCUCAUCGCCACCCUUGCAAGAUGUGUGUGUUUAUUUGGGAAUUCCUUUGAUCCUGGAGCAUCUUGGAGGCUGCUGCAUCACUUCUUCAUGCUCUCUUAGAGGUGGGUCAGACCCAGCCUGGGUUUUCCCCUUUCCUGGGACCCCACCAGGACCUCAGCAGCAGUGCUAAAGAACCACAGAACCAGAGAAUCAUUUAGGUUGAAAAAGACCCUAAAGAUCACCAUAAUUCCUUCUGAACCAGGAAGUGUUCACCAGUCCUUAUCAAAUUACUUGAACCUCCCUGGACUUUACACCCAGCAGCACUGAUUCACCCAUGCCAUGAUAUUCCUGCCCCAAAAGUCUUAUAAAAUAAAGAAGAUUAUGUUUGGAGUCAGUAGUCACAGCAAGAAAAAAAACAACCAAAAAAACCCCCAAAACCACCAAAACAAAAAACAAAAAACAAAAAUAAAACAACCCAAAAACCAAACCAAACCAAAACAAAAAACCAAAACAAACCAAAACCAACAAAACAAAAAAACACCCCCCCAAAAAAAAAUCAAAACAAAAACCCACAUAGAAGCACUUUACACUGCAGGAAUGGAGGGAUAUUAUAAAAAUCUUCUUCCAGGGUUAAACACGUGAGACUCAUCUUUACAGAGCCUGAAUAAAGUUGGUUUUCAUCCCAAAAUGUACAGUGCCAAGCACAUAACCACAGAGAAAACCCCCUGGAGCUGCAUCCCCCCACAGCUCAGCCUCGGAUGCCAAUGGCCAUGGAUUUCUGUGCUCCAGGAUGGAUGAGACUGUCACGUACUUGAGUUCAAAACACUCACAAAGUACUAAUAAUUGCCAGAAGUGAUUGAUAGCCUGCUUGUAAUGUGUCUGCUUAAGCAAUAAGCUUCACAUUUACAACUCAGGUGCUCGGGAUUCCUGUCUCCUGCGGCUGUAAUUAGGAAAUGGAGAGCAAUGCAGAGGGGUUUUUUUUUCCCUGAAAAAUAGAUAGGAAUGCUUCAUAAAGCCAUGCUGGGAGCAGACCGUGUGAUCCAUGUGGACAGGAGCAGGAAGGGAAGAUCAUGGUUUGCCCAAGGAACAGGUCUCCAAGGCUCCCAGGCAGGGAAGGAGGUCAGAACCAUCCCCUCCUGCUGCAUCCCAGCGCUGGCUCAGGCACAGAAGCGUUUCCAGCCAGGUGGUUAUUGCUGACUUCCUCUCCAGCCAGCUCCUUUGUUUAUUUCAAAAGAGGACGGAUAUUUCUGGGAUUUGAUACACCCAUUUUUACACUGGAGAGAAAAUACCAAACAGGUAUGUGGAUUUAUGAUGCUUUUUCUUAGGUCAGGGUGGUAAUUACAAAUAAUGAUCUGGCAGGGUGGUGGCAGCUGAAAAACUGUGAUUUCUCCUGAAGUUUUUUGAAUAGUCAAAAAGUGGAAGAAGUGAUAAACAGAGACCUGGGGUUCACUCCAGCUGUGGCCAAGGGGUCCAAAGAGGACCAAAAGGGAUGAAAGGACCUGUGGGGUCCUGUGUCCAGGUGGGAGGAGGGAGUUUUCACUGGGGGCAAAGGGCUGGCUGGGCACAGUGUGUCUGCUGUGGUGCGUUAUUUGGGGUGAAAGCAGAGACUUUCUGUGCCCCACGUUAAAGGCCUGAUCCUCCCCUGUGGGUUUUGUACCAUCCCUGGUGGUCAGUGCUUGUGCAGCAUGGGGCUGAUGGAGGAUUUGCUGCUUUUCCAGCGGGUCCGUGGUGGGGGGUGGCUUCACAGGACACCCGACAGCUUGAAAACCUUGGUGUGACGGGACUUCCACAAACCCACGUUGAGCAACUCUUUAAAUCAUAGAAUCAUCACAAAGUCAUAGAAUGGUUUGGGUUGGAAGGGACCUUAAAGCUCAUCCCAUUCCACCCCCCUGCCAUGGGCAGGACACCUUCCACCAGCCCAGCUUUCUUCAAACCCUGUCCAACCUGGCC